rnacentral:rRNA from 1 species
GGCUUUUUGAUUAUGAUUUAAGGUUUAACCUGCCCACUGAAUAUUUAAAGGCCGCAGUAAUUUGACUGUGCAAAGGUAGCAUAAUAAAUAGUUUUUUAAUUGAAAGCUGGAAUGAAUGGUUGGACGAGAAAAAUACUGUCUCUUUAAUACUUUUGUUAGAAUUUUACUUUAAAGUUAAAAGGCUUUAAUGAUUUUUAAAGACGAGAAGACCCUAUAGAGUUUUACAUUACUUUAAUUUAUGUUUAUGGAAAUUUAAAAAUUUAUUAUUUGUUUUGUUUAGUUGGGGUGACUGGAAGAUUUGUUAAACUCUUUUUUAUUUUUACAUUUAUUUAUGAAUUAUUGAUCCAUUUUUUUUUGAUUAAAAGAUUAAAUUACCUUAGGGAUAACAGCGUAAUCUUUUUAAAGAGUUCAAAUCGAAAAAUUGGAUUGCGACCUCGAUGUUGGAUUAAAGUUAAUUUUUGGUGGAGAAGCUAAAAUAUUAGGUCUGUUCGACCUUUAAAAUUUUACAUGAUCUGAGUUUAAACCGGUGUGAGCCAGGUUGGUUUCUAUCUUUAAAUAUUUAUUAUUUUUUAGUACGAAAGGACCAAAAAUUUAUUAAAUUAAUUUUAUUAUGAAUAUUAAU